rnacentral:tRNA from 5 species
GGGGCAUUAGCUCAGUUGGUAGAGCACCUGCAUGGCAUGCAGGGGGUCAGCGGUUCGAAUCCGCUAUGCUCCA